rnacentral:rRNA from 1 species
GACGAACGCUGGCGGCGUGCCUAAUACAUGCAAGUAGAACGCUGAAGCAGGAGCUUGCUUCUCUGGAUGAGUGGCGAACGGGUGAGUAGCACGUAGGUAACCUGCCUCUUAGCGGGGGAUAACUAUUGGAAACGAUAGCUAAUACCGCAUAAGAGUAGAUGUUGCAUGAGAUUUGCUUAAAAAGUGCAAUUGCAUCACUACCAGAUGGAGCUUCGUUGUAUUAGGUAGUGGGUGGGGUAAAGGCUCACUAAGGCGACGAUACAGAGCCGACCGGAGAAGGGGGUUGGCCACACUGGGAGUGAGACACGGCACAGAAUGCCUGGGGAGGGAGCCGUAGGGCAUCGUCGGGAAUGGGCGGAAGUCUGACCGAGCCACGCCGCGUGAGUGAAGAAGGUUUUCGGGUCGUAAAGCUCUGUUGUAAGGGAAGAACCAGUGUGAGAGUGGAAAGUUCACACUGUGACGGUAUCUUACCAGAAAGCGACGGCUAACUACGUG